rnacentral:piRNA from 1 species
CAUUAAUGUGAGAGACUUAGAAAA